CAUCAUUUCUCUAACUUGUAAUAUUCUCACCCUUUCGGUCACCACAACUUCUCUUCUCCAAGCAACUCUUUCUUUCUCACUCUCUUCUUCUGCAAUUUCUCUCUACAAUCACUGCGGGCAUGUAAGGAACUCUUUUAUUCGAUCAAGCCAUAUAGGUUGAAUUGAACGAACUGGAAUCAGAUACCUUAUCAGUGCAACUUGUGCAUUAUGAUGUGCAAGGCAACUACCAGGUCCGAGAAUUAUCUAAUGCUAGGGAUGAUCUUCUUAUUAGAUUUGGCAUUUAGAUAUCUGAAGUUGGGCAGGUCAUGAAAUCAUUAGGUUGCCAACUUUUCUCCAAAUUUGUGUUAGCAUUCAACAUUUUUAAAGUAUAGUUUGCAUUACUGGGCAUGGAAAUGAAGGAUUUCAAUGUAAGCUGGUGGCAGUGGUUAUGGAGCCCUGGAAUAUUUGACUAAAUGCUAGAGUGGUUAUGGAUCCCCUUCUCCCCUGGCACCCAAAAAAAUAAAUAAAGAAUGAAAGAAAAAGAAAGAGUAAACUGUUAAACAAAGUAGAAUUGAGUUUCAGUUAGGAUGAAGUGUAAAUUAAGAGAAAAAAAUCUUAAGAUACCUAGUUUUUUUUUUUUUUAUUGGCUUUUAAGAUAUGUUGUUUCCAUCUGAUAAUCAAUUUUGCUAGAUGUUUAGAAUUUUGAAACAUCAUAGUUAUAAUAGCACUAGUGAAUUGUUUAACUGCUCAUUAGCCAGCAAUUUCCAGUAAAUAUUGGAGCUUAAAUUGCCAUUUUAUAUAACAUAAGUUAUUUAUGCUGAA